AUAUCAAUAAGCGGAGGAAAAGAAACCAACAGGGAUUGCCUCAGUAACGGCGAGUGAAGCGGCAACAGCUCAAAUUUGAAAUCAGGCUCUUUAGGGCCCGAGUUGUAAUUUGUAGAGGAUGCUUCGGCGUCGGCUCCGGUCUAAGUUCCUUGGAACAGGACGUCGUAGAGGGUGAGAAUCCCGUAUGCGGCCGGGUGCCUAAGCCUAUGUGAAGCUCCUUCGAUGAGUCGGGUUGUUUGGGAAUGCAGCUCAAAAUGGGUGGUAAAUUUCAUCUAAAGCUAAAUACUGGCCAGAGACCGAUAGCGCACAAGUAGAGUGAUCGAAAGAUGAAAAGCACUUUGGAAAGAGAGUUAAAUAGUAC
rnacentral:rRNA from 1 species